GAACGGUGGAAGAUUAGUGCCUUAUAAUAUCGAAGGAGUUGAUGAUCUGUCAGAGUUCGUGUGAUUUAAGGUUUAAACCGCAAGAUACGUGUAUUUUAGAAGUUUGAAUAAGAAGUGAUUAGUGUCAUAAUUAUAAGGCGGCAUGAAUUGAACAAUGGCUAGGUACAACAUGGAGUGGCGUGUACAACCUCCUUGACGUAGAGAAUGAAAAUUAAAGAAACAAAUAGCAAAAACUCAGACGAUUUUUCUGGGAAAGAACCUUAGUGAAUAAGGGAAAGAAAAGUGAAAGAAGUUGACAUCUUGGAGAUCAAAAUCCAUAGGAAGCAGAAAUGGCGACUCUGGCUAUGCCACGGUUCAGCCGUUACGGUGACCCAGGGUCGACUACAAUCCAGUCCUACCGUCCGCCGACGACUUUUCCUCUGAACACUCAGUAUGAACAGGUUCCAAAUGACAUAAAUACCAAUUACGGCACUAAUUACUUACCCUACGAUAGCUACAGAAGGCAGACGCCCUCCUACGC